rnacentral:rRNA from 1 species
AUACGUAGGGUGAAGCGUUAUCCGGUUUUAUUGGGUUUAAAGGGUGCGUAGGCGGUUUGCUAAGCGGGAGGUGAAAUGCCGGCGCUCAACGUCGGAAGUGCCUCCCGAACUGGUGGACUUGAAUGACUCUGCCGUGGGAGGAAUGUGUAGUGUAGCGGUGAAAUGCUUAGAGAUUACACAGAACACCGAUUGCGAAGGCAUCUCACGAAGGGUUGAUUGACGCUGAGGCACGAAAGCGUGGGGAUCAAACAGGAUUAGAUACCCUGGUAGUCCACGCAGUAAACGAUGAUGGCUAACCGCUGGGCUUAUCAGUUCAGUGGCCAAGCGAAAGCGAUAAGCCAUCCACCUGGGGAGUACGACCGCAAGGUUGAAACUCAAAUGAAUUGACGGGG